CCGUUCAGCUGUGUAGGUAGAAGGAUGACUACCCGUUCAGCUGUGUAGGUAGAAGGAUGACUAUCCGUUCAGCUGUCUCGGUAGAGGGAUGACUACCCGUUCAGCUGUCUAGCUGGAGGGAUGACUACCCGUUCAGCUGUGUAGGUAGAAGGAUGACUUCCCGUUCAGCUGUGUAGGUGGAGGGAUGACUACCCGUUCAGCUGUGUAGGUGGAGGGAUGACUACCCGUUCAGCUGUCUAGGUGGAGGGAUGACUACCCGUUCAGCUGUCUAGCUGGAGGGAUGACUACCCGUUCAGCUGUCUAGGUGGAGGGAUGACUACCCGUUCAGCUGUCUAGGUGGAGGGAUGACUACCCGUUCAGCUGUCUAGGUGGAGGGAUGACUACCCGUUCAGCUGUGUAGGUGGAGGGAUGACUACCCGUUCAGCUGUGUAGGUGGAGGGAUGACUACCCGUUCAGCUGUCUAGGUGGAGGGAUGACUACCCGUUCAGCUGUCUAGGUGGAGGGAUGACUACCCGUUCAGCUGUCUAGGUGGAGGGAUGACUAUCCGUUCAUCUGUCUAGGUGGAGGGAUGACUACCCGUUCAGCUGUCUAGGUAGACGGAUGACUACCCGUUCAGCUGUGUAGGUAGAAGGAUGACUAUCCGUUCAGCUGUGUAGGUGGAGGGAUGACUACCCGUUCAGCUGUGUAGGUGGAGGGAUGACUACCCAUUCAGCUGUGUAGGUGGAGGGAUGACUAUCCGUUCAGCUGUCUAGGUGGAGGGAUGACUACCCGUUCAGCUGUGUAGGUGGAGGGAUGACUACCCAUUCAGCUGUGUAGGUGGAGGGAUGACUAUCCGUUCAUCUGUCUAGGUGGAGGGAUGACUACCCGUUCAGCUGUGUAGGUGGAGGGAUGACUACCCGUUCAGCUGUGUAGGUGGAGGGAUGACUACCCGUUCAGCUGUGUAGGUGGAGGGAUGACUACCCAUUCAGCUGUCUAGGUGGAGGGAUGACUACCCGUUCAGCUGUCUAGGUGGAGGGAUGACUAUCCGUUCAGCUGUCUAGGUAGAAGGAUGACUACCCGUUCAGUUGUGUAGGUAGAAGGAUGACUAUCCGUUCAGCUGUGUAGGUGGAGGGAUGACUACCCAUUCAGCUGUCUAGGUGGAGGGAUGACUACCCGUUCAGCUGUCUAGGUAGAAGGAUGACUACCCGUUCAGCUGUGUAGGUGGAGGGAUGACUAUCCGUUCAUCUGUCUAGGUGGAGGGAUGACUACCCGUUCAGCUGUGUAGGUGGAGGGAUGACUACCCAUUCAGCUGUGUAGGUGGAGGGAUGACUACUCGUUCAGCUGUCUAGGUGGAGGGAUGACUACCCGUUCAGCUGUCUAGGUAGAAGGAUGACUACCCGUUCAGCUGUGUAGGUAGAAGGAUGACUAUCCGUUCAGCUGUGUAGGUGGAGGGAUGACUACCCGUUCAGCUGUGUAGGUGGAGGGAUGACUACCCAUUCAGCUGUGUAGGUGGAGGGAUGACUACCCGUUCAGCUGUGUAGGUGGAGGGAUGACUACCCGUUCAGCUGUCUAGGUGGAGGGAUGACUACCCGUUCAGCUGUGUAGGUAGAAGGAUGACUACCCGUUCAGCUGUCUAGGUGGAGGGAUGACUACCCGUUCAGCUGUCUAGGUGGAGGGAUGACUACCCAUUCAGCUGUCUAGGUGGAGGGAUGACUACCCGUUCAGCUGUCUAGGUGGAGGGAUGACUACCCGUUCAGCUGUCUAUGUGGA